UCCCCUUCCCCUUUAUUGUCAAGUAAAAAAAAAAGGAAGACAAAACAAGAGAACCAAUAUCUGACAUAAGCACAAGGUGCUUUACCUUUACUCAGCCUGCAUUUUUAUUAACUUUUUUUUUUUCUCUUGGGAGCGUAUGAAAGAUGAUUUGUCGGGAGAGAACUGCUAGCUUAAUGAUAUCUCCAAACUUGAAGUAUCUCUAAUCCUAGUUAAUGUGAGUUCUUAAAUUAAGAACUAAGAAAUAUAACAUUGAAGAUGACUGACAUGAAGAUGAAUAAUUAUAAGAAUUUAAAGUUAAGAACUUGUGGUUGGAGUGAAAUAUGUAAAAGUUGCUUGAGAGUUGUUUAGAGCAUAUUUGGCAGCACGAGCUCAUAUGAAUAGGGAUAAUAAUUUAAAAUUUAGAAAUAGAGAUGAAGAUGCACUUAGAGAUAAUUAAUCUCAUAUUUGUUGUUACAUAAACUAUUAUAAAAAUGAUUUUUUUGUACGCAAAUCUUAGUUUCUCACUAGGGAGUCCAUGGACAAAGAUACAAGCGCCAAGAGAAACCGACACCACUUGAUUUCUCAACAUUAUUCUUCUCAAGGAUACCACCGUACUAUGCUCCCCUUCGGCGUAAGCUAUCUUUUAAAGAAGAAAUAAAUGUCACAUUUUUAUACAUAUACGGGUUUUCCACCGAGAAGACCGUGGACCAAGGAGAAAAGAUACCAAGAGAAUUCAACGUUACUUGAAUUCUCAACAUUCUCCGCCUCAAGUGUGAGUCACCAACACAAUUAUAUGCUCAUCUUAUCGGAAGUUAUGUUUUAAAGAAUAAAUAAAUGUCAUAUUUUUUGUUGUUACAUAAAUUAUUAUAAGGAUACUUUGUAUGCAUAUUUUGCUUCCCACCGAGGACCCCAUGGACCAAGAGGCAAAACACAAAGAGAAUCUGACAUACUUGAAUUCUACACAUUUUCACCCUCAAGUGUGAGUCAUCACCACACUAUUGUGCACUCUAUCCGUGGCAGCUAACCUUUGAAGAAGAAAUAAAUGUCACAUUUUAUGUUGUUACACAGAUGACUAUAAAAUGUUUUUUUUAAUAUUUUGGUUUCCCGGACCAAAGAGACAAGAAACCAAGAGAGCCUGAUGCUGCAUGAAUUCUCAAUAUUCUCCUGCUCAUGCGUGAGUCACAACUACAAUACUAUGCUCCUACUCUGUCAAAACUAUCCUUUGAAGAAGAAAUAAUUGCUACAUGUUUUGUUGUUACAUAAAAUAUUAUAAAAUUGAUUUUUAUAAUGAUUUCGGUUUACCACCAGGGCUUCAUGGAACAACGAGUCAAGAGACCAUGUGAACCUAACGCCACUUGAAUUCUCAACAUUAUCACCUGUAAGUGCAAUUUAUCCACCACAUGACUAUACGCCCCCCCCCCCCCCAACAAAAGUCAUCAUUUCAAAAGGAAAAAUAUUUCACAUUUUUUUGUUGUUAAUAAAUUAUUAUAAAAAAAAGAUUUAUAACGAUUUUGGUUUUCCACCAGGGCUUCAUGGACCAAGGAGUCAAGAUACCAAGUGAACCGGACGCCACUUGAAUUCUCAACAUUAUCACCUGCAAGUGCGAAUUAUCCACCACAUGACUAUACGCCUCCUCGACGAAAGUCAUCAUUUAAGAAAGAAAUAAAUUUCAAAUUUUUUUUGUUGUUAAUAAAUUAUUAUUAGAAUGAUUGUAUUAUACAUAUUUUGGUUUUCAACCGAGGA
rnacentral:lncRNA from 1 species